rnacentral:rRNA from 1 species
UAACGAAGGGUGCGAAGCGUUACUCGGAAUUACUGGGCGUAAAGCGUGCGUAGGUGGUUCGUUAAGUCUGUCGUGAAAGCCCCGGGCUCAACCUGGGAAUGGCGAUGGAUACUGGCGGGCUAGAGUGCGGUAGAGGAGAGUGGAAUUCCCGGUGUAGCAGUGAAAUGCGUAGAGAUCGGGAGGAACAUCAGUUGCGAAGGCGGCUCUCUGGACCAGCACUGACACUGAGGCACGAAAGCGUGGGGAGCAAACAGG